ACAACAAAACCUAAAACAAAACCUGGCCAUCCCUACCCUAAUAUGUUUCAUUCUCUUAACUAUUCCACAAUCAGGAAAAAAGAAAAGAGCGAGAGAGAGAAGAUGACGAAAACGUCAAUGGCUUCCCUAAGGUCAUUCUCCGCGAGGUUCGUGGUUGCUCCGCUGAGUUUCCUUGCCACCGUCAAAUUCAAAGAAUCUGCAACUGAAGCCAACCUUCUCUGAAGAGCAAAAUCCUAACCCCGGGUACCAUCAGUUGGUAUUCCAGCACCAAAAAGGGCUCAACCUCUUGGUACCAUCUCUGCUGCUCCUUGGGGUUCUACACUUAUUUUGCCAAUUUCAUAUUCAUACAUAGCCAUGAGUUCUAAGGGACUCACUAAAGCCUCAAAGAUAGGAACCUUGAAUGCAAACUACAUGGCAAAACGUUUGGAGCAUGAAAUAGAAGUUCAUUGUUUUCUUAGUACAAUAUAAUGAUGUGAACAUUACAAAGCCACUACCCCAUUCUUUUUCGAGGAGUCAAUGGAACAGUCGCCAAUGAAUUUCAAGGGUAUACUGUUGGCUAUGUGAAUAUUAAAGCAAAAAUGUUGUUUAUACUUUGCAAGUUGAACUUAGACAUUGAUGCUCAAGAAACAGUGCUAAUUGGUGGGUAUACUAUUAUGGAAUUGCAUCGUGUUUUGGUUUAGGACUCUAUCACCACAAGUCAAACUCAAAACCCACA